UAAAGCGAUAAAAUGUCUUGACUCGGUCCAUUGUUCUGACUCGGUCAUGUAAAAGUCAGCUUGUUUGAUAAAGCGAUAAAAUGCUUUGACUCGGUCCAUUGCUGUGACUCGGUCAUGUAAAAUCGUCUGAUUCGGUCGUUCCUAGAAAAGAGAUUGACCGAGAAAUUUCUCCACUUUGCCGUGAAGCUUUGAACUCCCCCCAUCGUGAACGACACAAUGCUAUCUCCUUCAUUGGCCCUUCCUAGCCUGCAACCUCCUUCCUUCUUCGUCUCCUUCUUCCGUCGGCGCCGACCAUUCAAUCGAUUUAUUCUUCCUUUAAUUUUUGCAUGAGAGAGAAUAUCGAUUGGUCGGGAGAAAGAUAGAAAAGGAGAACGUGUUUGCUUUGAUUUUUUUUCUGCAAUGUAGUAAUACCAAGUGACUUUUUUGUAUUGACUACUAUCUCCAUCGAUUUCUAUACACAGUGUGAUCUUUUGAUAGGCUUGUUUAUUGUUGCUUCGUUUCUAGUGCCACAUUUAUGGAAGAGACAAAAAAAUUGGUUUGACUCUUUGAAUUUCCAUGUGAGUUUUGUGUCUAGCUUUUCAACAAUUCUAUUCUUAUUGCUUUCAAUCGUGAUCUUGUUCAUGAUAAAACAUUGUAUCUUGUAAAAACACUACUUUAUAUGAAGUCUACAUUUCCAUGUUGUGUUCCAAA